AGUGAACGCUGGCGGUAGGCCUAACACAUGCAAGUCGAACGGCAGCACAGUAAGAGCUUGCUCUUACGGGUGGCGAGUGGCGGGCGGGUGAGGAAUAUAUCGGAAUCUACUUUUUCGUGGGGGAUAACGUAGGGAAACUUACGCUAAUACCGGAUACGACCUAGGGUGGAAAGGAGGGGAUCUUCGCGCCUUGCGCGAUUGAAUGAGCGGAUGUUGGGUUUGCUAGUUGGCGGGGUAAAGGCCCACCAAGGCGGCGAUCCGUAGCUGGUCUGAGAGAAUGAUCAGCCACCCGAGAACUGAGACACCGACAAGACUCCUGCGGGACGCAGCAGUGGGGAAUAUUAGACAAUGGUGGCAAGCCUGAUCCAACCAUACCACGUGGGUGAAGAAGGCCUUCGGGUUGUGAAGACCUUUUUUUGGGAAAAAAAAGCAGCAGGUUAAUACCACGCUGUUCUGACGGUACCCAAAAAAUAAGCACCGGCUAACUUCGUG
rnacentral:rRNA from 1 species